GCUCACACCGGUUUAAACUCAGAUCAUGUAAAAUUUUAAAGGUCGAACAGACCCAUCUUAUUAGCUCCUACACCAACAAUUAAUUUUAAUCCAACAUCGAGGUCGCAAUCUUUCUUUUCGAUAAGAACUCUAAAGAAAAUUACGCUGUUAUCCCUAAGGUAAUUUUGUCUUUCAAUCUUAUCUAAAGGAUCAUAAAUUUACAUAUCAAUAUCACAAUAAAAAAAAGUUUAUCUAAUUUUUCUAUCACCCCAACAAAACAAACAACAAAAACAUCAAAUUUCUCACUCCUAUAACCUAAAUAUUCACCCAUCUGUAAAACUCUAUAGGGUCUUCUCGUCUUCUACACAUAUUUAAGCUUUCUCACCUAAAAAUAAAAUUCUAUCUAAAUUAAUCAGAGACAGCCAUUUUCUCAUCAAACCUUUCAUUCAAGCUUCCAAUUAAAAAACUAGUGACUAUGCUACCUUUGCACGGUCAAAAUACCGCGGCCAUUUAAUUUUCUCAGUGGGCAGGCCAGACCUAAAAUCAUAUUC
rnacentral:rRNA from 1 species